rnacentral:rRNA from 1 species
GAUGAACGCUGACAGAAUGCUUAACACAUGCAAGUCUUUGGUGAAGCUGUGCUUGCACCGCCUAGCCAAGGCGGACGGGUGAGUAACGCGUAAGGAACUUGCCCUGCAGUCAGGGAUAACAGACGGAAACGACUGAUAAGACCUGGUAAAGUCAGGCGGACUCAUGUCCAGCCUGAUGAAAAGAGAUGCUGCAGGAGAGCCUUGCGUCCUAUUAGCUUGUUGGUGGGGUAACGGCCCACCAAGGCAAUGAUAGGUAGCCGGCCUGAGAGGGUGGACGGCCACAAGGGGACUGAGAUACGGCCCUUACUCCUACGGGAGGCAGCAGUGGGGAAUAUUGGACAAUGGGGGCAACCCUGAUCCAGCAAUUCUGUGUGAACGAUGAAGGUUUUCGGAGUGUAAAGUGCUUUCAGCAGGGAAGAAAAAAAUGACGGUACCUGCAGAAGAAGCGACGGCUAAAUACGUG